UACGUAGGAUGCAAGCGUUGUUCGGAAUUACUGGGCGUAAAGAGUACGUAGGCGGUAUGUUAAGUCUGCUAUUAAAGACCGGAGCUCAACUCCGGGACUGUAGUGGAAAACUGACAAACUAGAGGACAAUAGAGGAAGUCGGAAUUCUCAGUGUAGCGGUGAAAUGCGUAGAUAUUGGGAAGAACACCAGUGGCGAAAGCGGACUUCUGGGUUGUUACUGACGCUGAGGUACGAAAGCGUGGGGAGCAAACGGG
rnacentral:rRNA from 1 species